UUUCUUUUUAUUCAUAGACUUCAAAAAACAACAACAAAAAAAAAUGCUGCAAAAUGUGUUAAUAUAAGAAUUAGGUCACGUCUGACCAACUCUUUAUCCAUUAUACAGUACUAUUAUAUACACAUUUACAUACAAGGAAACUCACUGAUAGGUAGUUCUCAAAGUUAAAGCAUACAUCAUACACACACAUACACCAUGGGAAGUAACUGAAGAAAUAAUUUAAACAGAACAAUGUAUACAGACAAUACAAAGUUUUCAAAAGUUCAUAAAACCCUGACAAUAGCAGUUAAAGCUAGUAAUCUUGGGGUACAAAAUCAUUCACAUAAUAUAAUAUAGCAAGGUAACAAAAAAAAACAACGAACCAAGUAUUUAAGUGUCCAGUAAAAAUGUGCUGAAGAUUCAGUUUUCAUAUUUUAAAAUGCCACAUUAAGUUGAUUGGAUGAAACAUGUAUUCUAGUGUUACAGUAUUGUGUAUGGCAGUAGUCACAAAACCUCAUUCUUAACGGAACACUUCGCACAUUUGGAGUAUUUGGCGGGAACACUUUACUUAUUAUUUUAGAGAGAUUAAUUCCCCUGGUGGCCUACUUUAAUUAUUCCAGUAGUUCAUGGAACAUCUAUUCAGGCCUCACGGAAUACUAGGAUUCCGUGGAGCAAAGUUUGG